UCGAACAUAAUCCCCCAAGUGAACUUUUUCUCUCAUCCUAACACUUCCCCCAAUUCCAAUAAAACCUCAACCCUAAAUUCCCAAAAGUGACUUCAAAUUCCCUAAUUUUAAUCUACAAGGAUCAUAAUCAAGCUCUAGAUCAAGAAAGAUUUCCUUUAACGAUCUGAGAAACUGAUCAGGACUUGCGUUAUAUAAGAAUCGGAUUAAGUUUUAUUCCAAACUGUUCCAAUGUAUCUCCUCCACCUUAUCCAUCAUCUUUAGCACCCUAUUUAACCACUUAUCAAAGUUGAGUAGCAUCACUAGAUACCAUUAGAGAGAGAUCUACCUCGAGCUACUUCUCUAUUAGUCCAAGCAAAUAAGGAUGAUGGUCUCGGAUUUUAUGUUUAUAAUUUUAUAAAUGUUAACUUGAAUUGUAAACUAAUAAUUUGUUGGAUACGUCAUACGUAUAUAUAAACUUUUUUUAAUG